UACGAAGGGGGCUAGCGUUGCUCGGAAUCACUGGGCGUAAAGCGCACGUAGGCGGACUCUUAAGUCGGUGGUGAAAUCCUGGAGCUCAACUCCAGAACUGCCUUCGAUACUGAGAGUCUUGAGUCCGGGAGAGGUGAGUGGAACUGCGAGUGUAGAGGUGAAAUUCGUAGAUAUUCGCAAGAACACCAGUGGCGAGGCGGCUCACUGGCCCGGUACUGACGCUGAGGUGCGAAAGCGUGGGGAGCAAACAGG
rnacentral:rRNA from 1 species